rnacentral:rRNA from 1 species
CUACGGGGGGCAGCAGUGAGGAAUAUUGCACAAUGGGGGGAACCCUGAUGCAGCAACGCCGCGUGGAGGAUGACGCAUUUCGGUGUGUAAACUCCUUUUAUAUGUCAAGAAAAUGACGGUAGCAUAUGAAUAAGCACCGGCUAACUCCGUGCCAGCAGCCGCGGUAAUACGGAGGGUGCAAGCGUUACUCGGAAUCACUGGGCGUAAAGGACGCGUAGGCGGGUUGGAAAGUCAGGUGUGAAAUCCUACAGCUUAACUGUAGAACUGCACUUGAAACUGGUAACCUAGAGUAUGGGAGGGGGAGAUGGAAUUAGUGGUGUAGGGGUAAAAUCCGUAGAUAUCACUAGGAAUACCUAAAGCGAAGGCGAUCUCCUGGAACAUAACUGACGCUAAGGCGUGAAAGCGUGGGGAGCAAACAGGAUUAGAUACCCGUGUAGUC